UGAAUAUAUCACUGCCAGCUCAUCAAAACAGUUGUAAAGGAUUGGAUGAUGUAAUAGUUAGUUGAAAGAGUUAGUUCUCUAGUCAGCUAUAUAUAGUUAUUGUAAACAAAUAGUAAAGUUAGUUCAUUGAGUUUAAUACAAAAGCUUCAUUCAUUUCGUUCUCACAUUUCUCUUCUCUCUGUAAACCUUCAUUUCUUGAUUUCAUAAUUGUUCAUCUCUGAUACUUCUUCAAUGUAGUUAACAUGGUAUCAGAGCCACCAGGCUUACGCUGUGGAUUCUGGUGGUUCCAUUUCUUAGUAGUUUGCAUUUUUUUUCCUUCUCUAGUUAAGUUUCUCCUUAAAUUUUCAUUAGAUUUUCCAAGCUUCCGCGAUUGUUCUUGGGUUGAUUUUUCUGGGAUAUGAAUUGAGAUUUUACAUCUCGAUGAAUCUGACACAUGCGUCGGCUUCAAGCGAACAAUCAAAGAUUUCGAAGAAACCCAAACUCUCCCGCAACGCUUUGAUUCUCCGACUGCAAUUCGAGAACAAGAUAGCCACUCGUCUGAAACAAGACACAUACUUCAUCGAAAAGAGCUCUCUUUGUUUGGUCUCCGAGUCCUCCAAGAAGGUGAAGAGUUCACCUCAUGGCCAAGUCUCUGAGACCAAUCUUGAAGAACUUCAAGAAUUUUCCAAUUCUGCGAAUGAAAAGCUCGUAUCUUUGGAUUUAAUUUAUGGGUUUCCUGCAUUUGAUGGAGUAGCCCAAGAUUUCAUGGGAAAUUGCAAGGUGGGUCUUGUUUCUGAUGGUGAAUUCGUGACAACUAAGACUACAAGGACUCUGGAUGAUGAAAAGAAGGGUUAAGGCGAAGUGGGUUUCUCUGGGAUUCAAAACUCAAUGCUUUUGGAGUUUGCAGACCACCACCAACGAAUACUUCAUCUCAAUGUAGUCAAGUACAUUCUCAUACAAACCCAAAAGCCAAGAUUGUUCUUUCUCUGCGUAUGCUUUUUUUUUUAUUUACACUCUGUUUUCGCUUUUUAUGAUAUUUUAGUGGAACUGGUUGUGAAACAAUUUGGGUAUUGCAAAUUUUUUGGUGAUUGUUUGUUCAAGAUUGCAAAUCUUGGGAGCUCUUCAGGUUAUGAUUAUGUGCACUCCAACUAUUUGAAGGAAUGAGUCAGUGAAUUCUUUGAUCUCUACUCUGUUCUCUGGUAUGGAAGAAAGAUCAUACAUGGGUGCAAUCGAGAUGUUUGUCGAAAUGCCCAACUCAAAAGUAUCAUGUGAAGGUUAUGUUUUCAGUCAUUUUCUCCAAAUUCUUGAACAAUUAGAAUGAAUCUUUUCUGGGUUUUUGGUGGUUGUUAACGGUUUCGUGAGCAGCUGGUAUGCCUAUCUCGACAUCAGGUUCAUCAUUUUCACAAACCAUCUUGAAAAAUUCUUGUUUCUUUGAUAGGGUUUCUUGUAUGUCAGUUUAUCUGUUAAAGCCGAUAGCCAUUUUCUGCGAGCUUGUUGAAGGAAUACAAAGGCCGAUAGCCAUUCCUUUUUUGUUGCGUGAUUAGUUCUUGGUUGUUUGCGAUUUGUGCACUCGAAAAAGGCCGAUUGUCAAGAGUGUGUUGAAUGCAAUUUGUUUCCUCCAUAAGGCCGAUAGCAAGAGUGAAAAGUUCUGUCUCAGAUAUUGUGUGUUACUUCUUAAAGGCCGAUAACCGGAGUAACGUUCUUGAAAAGUUUUGUUUGUUCUUAUUGUGUGCAACUCCAUUAAGGCUGAUUGCCGGAGUGCAAUUCUUGUUCCCUUUUCUUCAUUGAAGGCCGAUUGCCGAAGAGGGUUGUGUUUCUUAAUUUCUGUGAUUGUAAAGCUUGUUGACUGUGAAAUAUUGGAAACCUUAUCGCAAAAGCUACAAUGGUGUAGAAAUCAGUUUGAGAGGCUGAAAUUCUUUGGGAAGUUGGUUGAUAAGUAUGAAAUGACACUUUUAAACACCAAGAACAGAGGAUUCAUUGCUGAUAGGAGCAGGGCUAGGAGUACAUCGACAAGAAGGAUUUCAUUGUUCUGCAUUUCUCAAGAGAAUCCAAUCUUAAAGCGUUGUGGAAUUGGGAGGAAAUUUGUUGCAAGCUUUGAUCAAGUUGGGAUGAGACCAAAUAACUUCUACUAUCAAUUGACUUGAGAACAUGUGCUUCCCUGGUGGAUGAUGACAAGACAGAAUCAGGCGGUGCCCCUUGGUUAAUUUGGACAUCUAAAUAGUCUUGAUGAAGAGAUUGCCCAUUUCUCAAGCACUCAUACAAUCUCAAACUGGGAAUCCCAAUUGAGAUUGAGGGGGGAUGUUGAAUAUAUCACUGCUAGCUCAUCAAAACAGUUGUAAAGGAUUGGAUGAUGUAAUAGUUAGUUGAAAGAGUUAGUUCUCUAGUCAGCUAUAUAUAGCUAUUGUAAACAAAUAGUAAAGUUAGUUAAUUAAGUUUAAUACAAAAGCUUCAUUCAUUUCGAUCUCACAUUUCUCUUCUCUCUGUAAACCUUCAUUUCUUGAUUUCAUAAUUGUUCAUCUCUGCUACUUCUUCAAUGUAGUUAACAG
rnacentral:lncRNA from 1 species